GUAAACCAUGCGGCAAAGAAACAGUCCCCUGUGAAUUAACAGGGUUAUAGAGGCGUCAGCCUGCCCUCCCCGGUCCAGGAAGCAGACGCGACGCUCGUUUGGGUCUCCAGCCGGGGGUCCGUGUGGCAGAUCCUCCUGCGCAUGGUGCGGGGGUGGCGGGGUCCUUGGCACAGCGUGGCCCUGGACCACAUGUGACAGCCGCUGCUCUGUGCGCUGCCCGCCAAGGCCUCUGUGUGGCAUAAAUGCGGUGCACGGCCGGCUGCGGCAGAGCUCCGGGACCUGGACUCGGACUCUCCUCUGCGCUCCCAGGCUCCGCUCGCCCCGCCGGCCCCUGAGAACCCGGACCCCGAGGCUGACCAGCCUGUCCCCACGGACCCCGCGGACCCCGCACGGACCCUCCCGGGACCUGCAGCACGCUGCUCGCUGUUCCUUUUUCCUAUGCAUAUACUUCUUUGAGGGUCGGGCCUAAAGAGGUGUAGGGCAUGGGAAAACGGGGCGGCGAGGUCCUCCCGCCCGCAGAGCCUGCUCCGGCCGCCAACCUGUGUCUGGACCUGCCUCCACGUCCCUCACGUAGGAUCAGGGACCCCGAGGCAAGGGGGUCCUGGCCCUCCUCCUCUGGCCAGGGUUGGGGCAGUGGGUAACCUUUGCUUCUGUGUGUGCCCUGGAGCAGUGGACGGCGUGGUCCAGCCCCACCCACCGGCUGGUCUGCGCCCCCACAUGGUGGGGGGUGCUGUGCAGAUCCCAGCUCUGUGGUGACUCUCGCUGGGGCAGCCCUAAAGAGUUACAGAAGGUGCCGGAACAGGAGCUGGGACAGUCCCCUGGGGCCACUGUGGAGCAGGGGUGGGGUGGGGGUGGGUCUGAGUCUAGAUGUGGAGCCAUGAGGGUCUGAUGUGCCGAAAAGCUGGGGGAGGAGCGACUGUCAGGGGUUGGGGGGGAGCUGCUUCUGACAGCGUCACUGCACUUGUGAUGAUGAGUCUGAGUGGAUUUUCUGAUCAGAAAUACCAAUAAAGCUGAUUCCGUGUGAACCGCAGCGUGGAAA